rnacentral:tRNA from 1 species
GCCAGAGUGGCGAAAUUGGUAGACGCAGCGGACUCAAAAUCCGCCGGGGGCAACUCCUUGCCGGUUCGAGUCCGGCCUCUGGUA